rnacentral:rRNA from 1 species
CGAAGGUAGCAUAAUCAGUAGUUUUUUAAUUGAAAACUUGUAUGAAUGGUUUAACGAGAUAUUUUCUGUAUCAAAAAAAUUUAUAUAGAAUUUAAUUUUUAAAUUAAAAAGUUUAAAUGAAAUUAAAAGACGAGAAGACCCUAUAGAGUUUAAUAUAUCUUUUUAUAUAAGUUUUUUAAAAUUAUUUAAUUUUUAUAAAAAGAUAUAUUUUGUUGGGGUGACAGUAAAAUUUAUAAAACUUUUAUUUUAAAAUUAACAAAAAUUUUUGACUAAAUGAUCCAUUAUUAAUGAUUAUAAGAUUAAAUUACCUUAGGGAUAACAGCGUAAUUUUUUUGAAGAGUUCAUAUCGAUAAAAAUAUUUGCGACCUCGAUGUUGGAUUAA